rnacentral:rRNA from 1 species
UACAGAGGUCUCAAGCGUUGUUCGGAUUCAUUGGGCGUAAAGGGUGCGUAGGCGGCGCGGUAAGUCGGGUGUGAAAUCUCGGGGCUUAACUCCGAAACUGCAUUCGAUACUGCCGUGCUUGAGGACUGGAGAGGAGACUGGAAUUUACGGUGUAGCGGUGAAAUGCGUAGAUAUCGUAAGGAAGACCAGUGGCGAAGGCGGCUCACUGGACUGGUAUUGACGCUGAGGUGCGAAAGCGUGGGGAGCAAACAGG